ACUCCUGUUUCAGGCAUGGGGCGGCUGGUUCUGCUGUGGGGAGCUGCCGUCUUUCUGCUGGGAGGCUGGAUGGCUUUGGGGCAAGGAGGAGCAGAAGGAGUACAGAUUCAGAUCAUCUACUUCAAUUUAGAAACCGUGCAGGUGACAUGGAAUGCCAGCAAAUACUCCAGGACCAACCUGACUUUCCACUACAGAUUCAACGGUGAUGAGGCCUAUGACCAGUGCACCAACUACCUUCUCCAGGAAGGUCACACUUCGGGGUGCCUCCUAGACGCAGAGCAGCGAGACGACAUUCUCUAUUUCUCCAUCAGGAAUGGGACGCACCCCGUUUUCACCGCAAGUCGCUGGAUGGUUUAUUACCUGAAACCCAGUUCCCCGAAGCACGUGAGAUUUUCGUGGCAUCAGGAUGCAGUGACGGUGACGUGUUCUGACCUGUCCUACGGGGAUCUCCUCUAUGAGGUUCAGUACCGGAGCCCCUUCGACACCGAGUGGCAGACACAGUCCCGCUCUGUCACCCAGGCUGGAGUGCAGUGGUGCGAUCUCUGCUUGCUACAACCUUCGCCUCCCAGGUUCAAGCGAUUCUCCUGCCUCAGCCUCCCAAGUAGCUGGGAUUACAGGCACCCGCCACCACGCCUGGCUAAUUUUUGUAUUAUCAGUAGAGACGGGGUUUCUCCAUGUUGGCCAGGCUGGUCUCGAACUUGCGACCUCAGGUGAUCCACCCGCCUCAGCCUCCCAAAGCGUUGGGUUUACAGGAGUGAGCCACUGUGUCCGGCCUCGCGGCUCCAUUCUUGAAGUCAGCGAGACUGUGAACCCUCCGGAAGGAAAACUCUGGACAGACAGAUGCCUGUGCAGAGACACCAACGCCUCCCAAACCAAAGCUGUCCAAAUUUAUUUUAAUUUCCAGCCUGGCCAUCCUUCUGAUGGUGUCUCUCCUCCUUCUGUCUUUAUGGAAAUUAUGGAGAGUGAAGAAGUUUCUCAUUCCCAGCGUGCCAGACCCGAAAUCCAUCUUCCCCGGGCUCUUUGAGAUACACCAAGGGAACUUCCAGGAGUGGAUCACAGACACCCAGAACGUGGCCCACCUCCACAAGAUGGCAGGUGCAGAGCAAGAAAGUGGCCCCGAGGAGCCCCUGGUAGUCCAGUUGGCCAAGACUGAAGCCGAGUCUCCCAGGAUGCUGGACCCACAGACCGAGGAGAAAGAGGCCUCUGGGGGAUCCCUCCAGCUUCCCCACCAGCCCCUCCAAGGCGGUGAUGUGGUCACAAUCGGGGGCUUCACCUUUGUGAUGAAUGACCGCUCCUACGUGGCGUUGUGAUGGACACACCACUGUCAAAGUCAACGUCAGGAUCCACGUUGACAUUUAAAGACAGAGGGGACUGUCCCGGGGACUCCACACCACCAUGGAUGGGAAGUCUCCACGCCAAUGAUGGUAGGACUAGGAGACUCUGAAGACCCAGCCUCACCGCCUAAUGCGGCCACUGCCCUGCUAACUUUCCCCCACAUGAGUCUCUGUGUUCAAAGGCUUGAUGGCAGAUGGGAGCCAAUUGCUCCAGGAGAUUUACUCCCAGUUCCUUUUCGUGCCUGAACGUUGUCACAUAAACCCCAAGGCAGCACGUCCAAAAUGCUGUAAAACCAUCUUCCCACUCUGUGAGUCCCCAGUUCCGUCCAUGUACCAUUCCCAUAGCAUUGGAUUCUCGGAGGAUUUUUUGUCUGUUUUGAGAC